rnacentral:rRNA from 1 species
UACGUAGGGUGCGAGCGUUGUCCGGAAUUACUGGGCGUAAAGAGCGUGUAGGCGGCCAGGUAGGUCAGCUGUGAAAACUCGAGGCUCAACCUCGAGACGUCGGUUGAAACCACCUGGCUAGAGUCCGGAAGAGGAGAGUGGAAUUCCCGGUGUAGCGGUGAAAUGCGCAGAUAUCAGGAAGAACACCCGUGGCGAAGGCGGCUCUCUGGGACGGUACUGACGCUGAGACGCGAAAGCGUGGGGAGCGAACAGG